GCGGGGGUGCCCGAGCCAGGUCAAAGGGGGCGGACUCAAGAUCCGCUGGCGAAGGCCUGCGUGGGUUCAAAUCCCACCCCCCGCACCA
rnacentral:tRNA from 1 species